CAUGGCCAAGCAACAAACACACGCACAAGGGAUGUGAUAGGAGAAGGGCAUCCCCCCAAGAGUCCCCAGGCAUGGUGCUACCGGAACCUGCUGCCUUGGCAUGGAAAGGUGUCAGGAAGUGACAGGCAGAGCCCACCAUGGGCAUCUUAGUAUCAGCUUCUCAGAUGUGCCCCCAGGACCCCUGAGGUAUCACAGCUGGCCAAAUGCCAUGGUCCAGUCUGGACAGCAUCACCACAGCAUGAAGUCAGAGCCCUUUCCUUUCCACUCUGGCUGCAACAACAAAGGAACUCACCUAAAAGCAGCUGAGCAAACACACGCAGCAUCUGUGAGCAUCUCGACCCACUGCUCAGCCAGCGCGCAGUGAGACGCCUGGAACACGCAAAGAAUGAGGGAGGUCAAGGAAGAAGGAAGCAAAGAAAGAAUUUCCCAUGCUGUCACCAAUGAUGCUUCAAGUUAAACAAAGUGGUGGAAAAAUUGAAUCAGCAAUGUCCCCACCCCACUCCCCAGAUAUGUAAUCUUAACAAUCUGGAAAGAACCUACAUCAUAUAUGUCAGUCCCAGAAUCAUGUUAAAAGCUGUGAAUUCAUUAUAACAAAACAACAUCAUCCUUUCCAUUAAAAAAUAUUUCAUU
ensembl:lncRNA